rnacentral:rRNA from 1 species
GACGAACGCUGGCGGCGUGCUUAACACAUGCAAGUCGAACGGAAAGGCCCUGCUUGCAGGGUACUCGAGUGGCGAACGGGUGAGUAACACUUGGGUGAUCUGCCCUGCACUUCGGGAUAAGCCUGGGAAACUGGGUCUAAUACCGGAUAGGAGCCAUUUUUAGUGUGAUGGUUGGAAAGUUUUUUCGGUGUAGGAUGAGCUCGCGGCCUAUCAGCUUGUUGGUGGGGUAAUGGCCUACCAAGGCGGCGACGGGUAGCCGGCCUGAGAGGGUGGACGGCCACAUUGGGACUGAGAUACGGCCCAGACUCCUACGGGAGGCAGCAGUGGGGAAUAUUGCACAAUGGGCGCAAGCCUGAUGCAGCGACGCCGCGUGGGGGAUGACGGUCUUCGGGUUGUAAACUCCUUUCGCUAGGGACGAAGCUUUUGUGACGGUACCUAGAUAAGAAGCACCGGCUAACUACGUG